rnacentral:pre_miRNA from 1 species
CUCUCUCUCUCUCUCUCUCUCUCUCUCUCUCUCUCCCUUGUUUUUUGUGUUUUGAUUUUGCUCGUCCUUUUCUCACUGUAAAUUAAAAUAAUUACAGAUAUUAAAAAAGAAAAGAAAAAUAUCGAAUGGAGAGAGAGAGAGAGAGAGAGAGAGAGAGAGGA